UGCCGCCCGGUGGCCGUGGCCGGUACUGCAGCCCGGGGGUGUGUCCGCCCGGCCCCUCUACAAAGCGCCGUCCCGCGCAUGUGCGGGGUCUGGGGGCGUCAUGGCGUCGGUGGGUGCCGGUUCCGGUGGCAGGCUGAGGACGGCCGAGCGCCCCGAGUUACGGGAGAGGAAGGGAGGAGAGAAGGAGAGGGAGCGUCUGAGCUGUUAGAAGCCUCCUGCCAGCAGCCGAGAGCGAGAGCUGCUUGGGGCAGUUCACAAGGACACACGGGCUGCUGGACUCCUCAGUACCAACAUUCAGGGCGAGGAAGGAGAUCUUGGCUAUACUUAGGUGAUAUACGUGUCUGUGUUCUGUGUGUAUCUGGGAAAGUGCGUUCUAGGGAACUCAGGCUGCCAAUGAGUCAAAAAACGGCCUGGUUGUCUAAAACACGCAAACGCCCCAGUGGCCGUACCAACAACUGUACUAAAGAUGGUGCAAAGUACCUUUUCCUCCACUCAGCUGUAGCCUUUGCAAGAAAAAAGGAAGUGUCAGAUUCCUAUCCAGCUUUGUUCUGGAGGGUUUUUUCCUCUUUCAGCUGGGUGUCCACUGCCACCGUCUCGCUGCGGUCGCCCCGUCUUCUGCUACAGAAGUGAAGACAGGCAGAAAGAACCCGGAGUGGUCUGCCCGUACAAGGCACGGCUAAGACGUGUGUCUGCAUUUUUCCUAAGUGAACAGGUUUGUAAAGUAUCUUAGCUUUUUGAGUGCUAUUCUGACUGAGAUACGGGCACCUGGGCAGACCGGUUUUGUUCUGCGCAUUUGCUGGGUUCCCAAGAAGCGCUUUCAGCCUCGUGACUGGUGGCAGUGAGUCCUGGUGUGGUUUGGGUGAGUUAUUGUUUCAAUAAUGACUUUUUUCUCUUAACGUACAGUGUGUAGUUCUGACUUCAGUUGGUAAGAAACCUUCCAAAACGGCAGUAUUCCUCAUUCCUAGAAGCUGCGUUUUAUGAACCUGCCCUCCGAGUGGAUCUUCCCGGGUGAUGUGAUCGGCAGUGGCCUCACCAGCAACAGGACUGAUCAUUUCCUUUGAAACAGCCAACCCAGGUCCAUUUCCUUCCACGGGGCCCAGCACGGCAGGCCUGGCGAAGUGGCGCGUUUCCCGGGCAGGUCGGGGCUGUGCCUCUUGCCUGGGCCGUGCAGCCACCUGUCCCUGCUCGUCGUGUCACAUCCAUGUGUGAAUCGAUAUCUGUCUAAAUGUACAUAAUUGUAAUAAUAUGAUUGUAACAGUACGCCAACAUCUGCAAGUCUAAAAAGAUGUGUCCACAGAGGAGGCUAAACAGCCCAACCCCACUCACUGUCCCGCGACUGGGGACUCCAGACAAGGGGACGCAGACGCGGGGGCGGCUGCACAGCGGAACUCAGCGGACUUGAGAACCGCUCAGCUGGUCGCAUUUCUGGUUCUGUCUGCCGAGUUGUGCUCCUCUCCCGCUCCAGCAUUCCUGGCAGAUCUGCAGCUUGAUAAAGACCUCAGGCUGUUUGGUUUCAUCAGACUUUUGUACAUCCCACCUUCACUGUUCAAAGCACCGGCUGCCAAUGUGUUUUCUGGUGUUGUCACUUCUUUCUGAGCAAAGACGACAGAGGUAGCAUCUCUACUGCUGUUGUCUGUUUUAUUUAAAUAUGGAUAUUUACAGAAACUUUAACUUGAAAGCUCAGAAAGCUGUGGUCAGUGGUAUAUCUUUGUCAUGUGUGUAAUUUCUUAUGCAGAUAUUCUUAUGCCAACGAGCACGGAACGUGUGUGAGUGUGACCUGCUGUGUGGUUAGGAGGAAGAAAGAUGUGUGAGCUGCAGCAGCAGGAAGGCUGCAGCCGUGUGGAGCAGCGUGCGAAGGAAAAAGGAAGCAGAGGAAGACGGUGAGCCUGCGAGGAAGAGUGUAGCGAGUCGGGCGUGGACUCACGGGGAGCAGCGUGCAAAGGAAAAGCGAGGAAGGAGGCAGAGUGAUGGAUACAGAGGGUUGGAGCGCACCUGCCGGUCAGGAGGGAUCAGGGAAGAAGACACCGGUGGUGGAACCGCAGGUCAGGAGAGCUCAAGGAGGGAGAAAGGUGACUGUGGCCAUAUGGGUUUUUCUAGCUCACACACCAAUGAAAACAGUUUGGAUAAUAAAAGAAAUGUAUGCAAAACCGAUAAGUAAAGGCAGAGAAUGUUUAUAUGCGAUGUAUGGGAUAGACCUGAAGGUGUAUUUAUUCCUACGACAAAGGAGAAUUCGCAAUGGUAAUUAACUGAGGAUGUGAAUUUCCAGAUUGCAUUGGCAACAUACCGAGGGAACAUAUCACUUUAUUACCCUCAACAUAAACUGUGGGCUGAAACUGGUAAUUUACCGUUGUGCAGCAAACGCUGCUGUCAGCAACGACCAGUAAGUGACAAGACUGUAAUUACUGAUGGCUCUGGUCGCUCACGUGAGUUGUAAUGACGUGGCUGAACUCAGAUACCCAGUGCUGCAAACACAAGGUAGAGAAAGAGACCAAGGGUCCAACAAGUUCUGGAGCUGACAGCUGUUGGGAUCGCUGUGAGGUGUUCUGUGACAAACCUUGGAAUGUUGGAACUGGCUCGUAUUAUGCAGCUGGCAUACUUAACCGCCUGGAAGCUUCUUUUCUUAAGGAAGAGGACAAUCCUCUUUUGAUGGCUGAAUUGAGAAUGCUAUGGUUUCUAAUAAAUCACAGACAUCAUGGUUAUUAUGCAAUGCACACCCGCUCUCGCACGGCCCUUCCAGGACCUCUUGCGGAAGGCAAUAGGAGGGCCGAUGCACAAGCUGUGCUGCUCUCUGUGCCUGAAGCCUUGCAGCAAGCUAAAUGAUCACGUGAAUCCUUUCACCAGAGUGCAAAGGCGUUAAAACGACAAUUUCAAAUGACAGUGGAUCAGGCCAGGAGCGUUCUUAUGUCCUGCCCUGACUGCCAGCAGUCGGCACCCGUGCCGUGCACAGAGGGUGUGAAUCCAGGAGGGAUUACUGCCAGUGAAGUACGGCCAGCUGGGGUAACGCGUUGUUCUGAAUGGGGUAAAUACGUACGUGUUUCUGUACGCGCUCAUUCCGGAUUUCUCGUUGCUGCUGCACGCUGGUGAAAGGGCACGAGACGUCUGUGACGUUGGUUGACAUGUUCACUGUUUGAGGAGUUCCACGAUAUGUAAAACCAGAGGAAAGCGGAACGCACGCUGGAUUAGAGGAGCGAUCCCCCGAGUGUCCAGCGCGCUGUAAUAGAAGUGCCUGCUGUUUAACACUUUCAAAACAGUGAUAGCGAGUCUGUUUGCCGACUUUCCGGUAUCAUGUUCUGGCGACGAGGAUGGGAUGAUCUGCCUGACCUGCCGUGGUCCCCAGGGUCUCUGGGACCUUGUGCUGGCACCGGGGAAUUCCCGGAAGGGACCACGGAUCCUGGGACCAGCUCGGACGCGGGUGAAGCCCCAUCAGUGAGAUGAGACGCUUUCACUGUAAAAAUAAAGCUUUCCCCCCUUAAUUUUUGUCACAUAUUGUAAUUAGAAUUAAUAGAGAUAUUGAAGCCCAUCCUAGCUGAACUGGAGAAAAGACAGCAGCCAUGUGUAUUUUUAAAUAAAGAGUAAAUCAAGUCUGCUA